rnacentral:rRNA from 1 species
UGGGGAAUCUUGGACAAUGGGCGCAAGCCUGAUCCAGCCAUGCCGCGUGGAUGAUGAAGGCCUUAGGGUUGUAAAGCCCUGUCAGGUGGGAAGAACGACCGGGAAGUGAACAGCUUUCCGGUGUGACGGUACCACCAGAGGAAGCACCGGCUAACUUCGUGCCAGCAGCCGCGGUAAUACGAAGGGUGCAAGCGUUACUCGGAAUUACUGGGCGUAAAGCGUGCGUAGGUGGUUGUUUAAGUCUGAUGUGAAAGCCCUGGGCUCAACCUGGGAAUGGCAUUGGAAACUGGGCAGCUAGAGUGCGGUAGAGGGUAGUGGAAUUCCCGGUGUAGCAGUGAAAUGCGUAGAGAUCGGGAGGAACAUCUGUGGCGAAGGCGACUGCCUGGACCAGCACUGACACUGAGGCACGAAAGCGUGGGGAGCAAACA